CAUCCCCCCCUUCGGAAUCCUUCCUCAUCACUGCCCUCCAAGCCCCCUCACAAUUUCAAGUGGCACAGGCAGGACUACAAGGGCCACACUCCAACAGGCUGCACUGGAACACCGCGGGACUUAGAAACGACCCCUCACACACACACCCACACCCACCAAGGCUCCAUAAAGAAGCCUGGCGGAAAUGGAGCCCUGAAUCUCUGUCCUUUGGUGUCUCUUCCGUUUCCAGUCCUCCGCGUGGCACUAACCAUCCCUAAAACUUCCUUUUUAAGGCUUCUCCUCCGUCAGCCCCUAAGCCAGACCUCUUUUUAUUUGACUCCGCUCGGGCAGCGGUGGGUGGGAGGCGGCUCGGGAAAAGGGAAGCCCGUCCCUUACAGUGGCGCCCCUAGGGAGACGUUCUGGGGGUCUCCGGGGGCACAAGGGCCGUGAGUCAUUUUGUUUGUUUAGCGAGGAAGAAGAUGGAGACGCGACGGUCCCCAACCACCCCACUGCAAAGCUCCUCUUCUGGUUCCCAGGAUGCACCCUGUUUGCCCCCAGUUUGUCGCACCAUCACCUGGAAUAACAGCUCUGUGGGACCACGUGGAACUGUGGGCCAUGCCAUUGUAACAACAGCACAGAGACUCCAUGGGCCCAUGGAAAGGGCGCCAUAUUUGAAGUCGGCAGAUGUGGUCCUGGCUCUAUUGAGAAGAUACAAAUGACAUGUGACCUGCUGAGUGAUACAAAAAUCUACAUAAUGACAGAGUUCUGCUUCCUAAGGCAAAAAACAGGUGAUGGUCUGUCAAAAGAUUUUUUUUUUUUUUUAAAUCAGUUCUGGACAAAAGCAAGGCCCAGAACCCCCAACCCUUGUCAAAGACACACCCACCCAGAUGUUAAGUAUUUUCAGAUUUAAGUGGUGAACCGCCCUGUAUACCGAUCUAUACUUUGAUCUGUUUCUCUGACUUCCUUGGUAGUUGCCCUCAGUUCUGGUCUGGGCGACACCUGGUCUCCCUGGAUGAUGCACUGUAGGUCUUCCUGUUUCCACUCCCAGGCCUGCUUUCUGUAACAAAUCAUUUUCCUCUCAGCAAGCAGAGGGAAGAGUCUCAUCUGGCCUGAUCCAGCUUUGGGGAGGAGCUGGUGAAGAGGCCAUCUAAGAGAUGCGUUCCAGGGCAUCUCAAUGAGCUAGAUGAAGCCGUGGAGCAAAAUAUUUGAAAUCUAAACUGUCCUGGACAAAUGUAGGACAAAUGAGCAUGGUAACCUGUUUUCAAGCAGCCUGCAGACUGUUGUUGAGAUAAGCUAUCAACCUCUAAAAAUAUCC
rnacentral:lncRNA from 1 species